rnacentral:tmRNA from 1 species
GGGGGUGUACUGGUUUCGACUCGGACGGAUAACCGUCUGGGUGAAGCGGGCCGUGAUCCCGGAUGUCACGUAAAACGCCGGACCAACACAAGCGCCAACGACGAGUUCGCGCUCGCUGCCUAGUCUCUAGGUAGCCGCCCGCCUCGUGUGCCUGCGGUCGGGGUACGGGCGUCAUUGAGCAGGCUCACCACGAGGGUUCCGCCUGGGGGCCGUCGCGGAACAUCGCACCCGGGCUGGCCGAGGGGCCUUCCGCCGGUGGAGACCCCGAGGUGAGAUCCAUACGCCGGCUGCGCCCGGAGAAGCCCCAGAUGGUCGGCCGAGCACAGGGGUUCGAAUCCCCUCACCUCCACCA